GUUGUAAAGCUCUUUCAGUCGAGAAGAAAAGGCUGCAGUGAAUAACUGUAGUUUAUGACGGUAUCGACAGAAGAAGCACCGGCUAACUACGUGCCAGCAGCCGCGGUAAUACGUAGGGUGCGAGCGUUAAUCGGAAUUACUGGGCGUAAAGGGUGCGCAGGCGGUUUUGUAAGUCAGAUGUGAAAUCCCCGGGCUUAACCUGGGAAUUGCGUUUGAAACUACAAGACUAGAGUGUGGCAGAGGGAGGUGGAAUUCCAUGUGUAGCAGUGAAAUGCGUAGAGAUAUGGAAGAACAUCGAUGGCGAAGGCAGCCUCCUGGGUUAACACUGACGCUCAUGCACGAAAGCGUGGGGAGCAAACAGGAUUAGAUACCCUGGUAGUCCACGCCCUAAACGAUGUCAACUAGUUGUCGGGCCUUACUAGGCUUGGUAACGAAGCUAACGCGUGAAGUUGACCGCCUGGGGAGUACGGUCGCAAGAUUAAAACUCAAAGGAAUUGACG
rnacentral:rRNA from 1 species